rfam:Myotis brandtii contig220721, whole genome shotgun sequence.
AUCGCAUCUCAGCCUUUUGGCUAAGAUCAAGUGUAGUAUAAUCAUAAAUAGUUUAAAUAUUCAACAUAU